AACGAACGCUGGCGGCAUGCCUAACACAUGCAAGUCGAACGAGAUCUUCGGAUCUAGUGGCGCACGGGUGCGUAACGCGUGGGAAUCUGCCCUUUGCUUCGGAAUAACAGAGAGAAAUUACUGCUAAUACCGGAUGAUGUCUUCGGACCAAAGAUUUAUCGGCAAAGGAUGAGCCCGCGUAGGAUUAGGUAGUUGGUGGGGUAAUGGCCUACCAAGCCGACGAUCCUUAGCUGGUCUGAGAGGAUGAUCAGCCACACUGGGACUGAGACACGGCCCAGACUCCUACGGGAGGGAGCAGUGGGGAAUAUUGGACAAUGGGGGAAACCCUGAUCCAGCAAUGCCGCGUGAGUGAUGAAGGCCUUAGGGUUGUAAAGCUCUUUUACCAGGGAUGAUAAUGACAGUACCUGGAGAAUAAGCUCCGGCUAACUACGUG
rnacentral:rRNA from 1 species